rnacentral:misc_RNA from 1 species
UAGGAUAUCUACACAAUGCUGAUGAGAUGGACGCUUUCAAAAUCUCUCCAACACCUUCCACUCCAAGCUUAACUGAGAUGUAAAAAGCCUCAGGUGCAUUGGCGAGAGUGAACAGGGUUGCAAGGGGUUGUAUCUCAUCAUCACCAUAUUCCAUAAUUCCAGUUGUAAUGCAAGAUUCAUUUAUUUGAUGCAAAACAUAAUCAAAAAGCACCAGAAAG